rnacentral:rRNA from 1 species
GACGAACGCUGGCGGCGUGCCUAAUACAUGCAAGUAGAACGCUGAAGGAGGAGCUUGCUCUUCUGGAUGAGUUGCGAACGGGUGAGUAACGCGUAGGUAACCUGCCUGGUAGCGGGGGAUAACAAUUGGAAACGAUAGCUAAUACCGCAUAAGAGAAGAUGUUGCAUGACAUUUACUUAAAAGGUGCAAUUGCACCACUACCAGAUGGACCUGCGUUGUAUUAGCUAGUUGGUGGGGUAACGGCUUACCAAGGCGACGAUACAUAGCCGACCUGAGAGGGUGAUCGGCCACACUGGGACUGAGACACGGCCCAGACUCCUACGGGAGGCAGCAGUAGGGAAUCUUCGGCAAUGGACGGAAGUCUGACCGAGCAACGCCGCGUGAGUGAAGAAGGUUUUCGGAUCGUAAAGCUCUGUUGUAAGAGAAGAACGAGUGUGAGAGUGGAAAGUUCACACUGUGACGGUAUCUUACCAGAAAGGGACGGCUAACUACGUG